UACGAAGGGGGCUAGCGUUGUUCGGAAUCACUGGGCGUAAAGCGCACGUAGGCGGAUCUUUAAGUCAGAGGUGAAAUCCCAAGGCUCAACCUUGGAACUGCCUUUGAUACUGGGGAUCUUGAGUCCGGGAGAGGUGAGUGGAACUGCGAGUGUAGAGGUGAAAUUCGUAGAUAUUCGCAAGAACACCAGUGGCGAAGGCGGCUCACUGGCCCGGUACUGACGCUGAGGUGCGAAAGCCAGGGAGCAAACGGG
rnacentral:rRNA from 1 species